UUAUAGGCAAGGAAAGGGAAGAGUACUAUAGAGCACAGUUUGAAGAGAGAGAAUGUCGCCGGCUGUAAGCAUUCUUAAAUAUGACUAUAAGAAAACUACCCUGGAGCUAUGGUUUAGUAGUCUAAAGGUGAAAUAUCAUCGGUGAAAAUCGUUAAAUUUUAAGAGAUGAAUUGAAUUGUAGUAAUUCAAUUUGGGUGGAACCACGUAUGUAAACAUUCGUCCCAAGG
rnacentral:ncRNA from 1 species